CACGUAGGAGGCGAGCGUUGUCCGGAAUCAUUGGGCGUAAAGAGCGCGCAGGCGGCCCGGCAAGUCGGAUGUGAAAUCCCUGGGCUCAACCCAGGAACUGCAUUUGAAACUGUCGGCCUUGAGUGGUGGAGAGGGAAGCGGAAUUCCUGGUGUAGAGGUGAAAUUCGUAGAUAUCAGGAGGAACACCGGUGGCGAAGGCGACUUCCUGGACACCAACUGACGCUGAGACGCGAAAGCGUGGGGAGCAAACAGG
rnacentral:rRNA from 1 species